rnacentral:lncRNA from 1 species
UCUAAUUUAGUUUUAAUUAAAAAGUUAGGAAAUACAUAAUUUUAAUUGUGAUUUAAAAUUUGUCACUUAAAAUCUGUUUUACCUAAAGGAUUUGUUAUCCCAAGUAUACCAAAAUUAAUAUUAACUUCCUUUCAACCAAAUCUGUUGGCAAGGUCCCCAUCAUCUUUUGCCUGUUUUGCAGCCUCUCCGUGUUUAGUUGGGAACACACUAUAGUUGCUUUUCUGUUCUGCAGCCAGUGUGGUCUUUAAGAAACUCAUAUUUGAACAAGUCAUCUCUCUCCUCCAAAUAUUCCUGUGGUCCCACAUUUCCUUGAAAUAUGCAGCAAAAGACACCUUGAUAUCUUUCCCUCUGCCUUGUCUCUUGCCACCUCGCCAUUCUUAUGUUCAUUUUCUCUGUUCCCUUUGUCCCACCCUCAAUGCGUGUACAUUCCAGCCACACAAAAGUAUUUGCUGUUUCCCAGAUGCACUACUCUGACUCUUCCAUCUGUUAUUCUGAGCAUGUCUUUUCUCUUCCAUGCGUAAAGUCCCUUCUCCUUCUAUUUUUGUCCGUGUCAUCUCUUCCUUUAGGUCUUAUCUUAGCUGAUAACUCUUCCAGGAAGACAUCCCCUUCUCCCAAGACUGAAUACGCUUUAUGCACUGAACAAGCACUGAAUAAAUUAGACACAUAACGUAUAUCAUAAUGCACUGCAAUUGCUUAUAUAUGGGCUGACUGAUUACAAAUUCUUUGAAGCUAAAACCCAUGUCUUGUUCCUAGCAGUAUCUCUAGCACCUAGCCCAUGGCCUUGCUCAGCGUAGUCCUAAUUGGCACAUUGUUGUGAAAUAUUCCAUGAACAAAUCAAGUGUGUGCAGAGAAAUAAGAGAUGGAUUAGUUCGUGGCCCAAAUCUUAUAACCCGUAUGUUUAAUAUUUAAUCCUGCAAUUUACGAUUAUAUUAUCAAUUGCCUAUUAGAAGUUAAUUUUUAUUUUACGUGAGCUAAAUUCCACUUACCUAGUUCUCUACCAAGCCAUGACAAAGCCAAAUCUGAGUAUACUGUGUGUAUCUACUCAUAUGUCACUAGACAAGACAAAUCUGCCUUUACAUCUGGCUGGGGUAGGAAUUCCCAGAUGCACUUAAUUCUGACACAUGGUCAUUAUUGAACCAAAAGCCAUUGCCUGGCAUGAUUAUAGCUUGUAUUUGUUUUCAUUUUAAAGGGCCUCAUCCAGGCUGCCAAAUGUACAACAGGUGCCUUAGUUUUAUACUUGCCAAUCUGUUGUUAUUCAAAUGACCGCCCUAACAGAGACUAAUGGUAUCUAAUAAAAUUGAUCUCAGUUCUGGCAAGCGACGCUCACAAGAGCAAAAGUGGUAGAAACUGCAGUGUGGAAAUAUGCUGAUGGUGAAUGUACCUGGUGAAGCAUACAUUUUUUUAGGCGGCGACAUAUGUCUCACAUAUAGGCCCCUUGAUUAUGUGGUGCCGUGGAAAUUUUCCACAUCCCUGUGUUAUUUAAAAACAAGGAUUUGUAACACCUAAUCUUAUUUUAGAUGGACUUGCUGGGUGGCAUGUGGACAGGACUAGCUGUGCCAGCUUAUCAGUGAAUGGCUAUGCCACUUCUGUAAGGCGCACUCAGAUAAUCUUUUCAUGCCAAACACCUGUAAGUAUGAUGGGUUUUACUUCUUGUUACCAGAAAUUUGCCUCACUGAUUCAUAGUGUUUGUAAAGACUUGACUAUUAACAGAGUUAACCAGAAGAGGAAUGUGUUGGUUUGCAAAUAGGAGCUCAUGUUUGGACAUUUUCAUUCAGAGAGUGUGUAUGAUUUCUUGGGUUUUUCUCAUGUUUUAUAAGAAGCUGGCCAGUGGAAACCUUUACCACCAAAAGAGAUAACCUUUUGACAAUUUGCCAUCAAAAGUUAAAAGUGUAAGUAUUGGCAAAUGCUAGAACCGUUUCUCACAAGGAUAUAGAAUUGCAUGUUUUUUGUUGUUAUUGUUGUUGUUGUUGUUGUUCCUGCAAGGAUUUUAGAGACCUCAUUUUACUACUCACCUGUUCUCCCAUUUAUGAAUUCAUUCUUUAAAGUGCCACACAUUAAACUCCACUAAAUGUAAGAUACUGUGGGGAUAUACAGAGGAGGAAAACAGUGCCAAGUACAAUUUGCACUGACAAAUAGACAGACUUCUAAAUUCUUAAGAUUUUGAGAAAUGGGUGCCACAUAAAGUCUGUUUCCUAUUGGAGAGCUUUGUGUUGUCAUGUGGAAAAAAGCUACUCAAAUUCCAUCAUGAUGGUGGAACUUACAGACUUACUAAAUAGCAAUAAUAACCACUACUAGGCUAGGAGAGAGUGAGUAGAACCUUAGCUACCUAACCACACGUCACUUAGCUCCACAGUUAAUUGAGCUCAUCUAAUUUCCUGUGACCUAGCAUAUAGAAUAGUUCUUAGGUUAGGAUUUGGCUAUUAUUGGACCAUCUUUUUGUAUUAUUUAUACCCAUCCUUACUUGGAAAAGGAUUUGCGGCAGCUAUUAAAUCAUAUGCUUCAUUAUCCUUAAUAAAUCACCUUUGUAGAGCAGACAAUGGAUUAUUGUACAGAUGGUUAGUUUCUAUGAGAAAUUUUUAAAAAUGUGCAUCUUCUUAGCCUCAUUCUGACUGUAUUUUAUUUCAAAGCAUUUUUAAAAUGAUAGAGCCCUUAAUGGGGUAUGCCAAACUAGUCACGUUGUGAGUGUUGUUCAUACUGAAAAAUACACACACACACACACACACACACACACACGCACAUAUAUAAAAUAAUUAAAAGUAACAAAUACGAUUAACAGUGUUUAACAAAUGUGCUUAAAAGGCCUGUUACCAUUUCUGAUUGUGUAAAAUGUUCAAAAUAGCCUUCAUUAUUUAGAAGAAAAGAUGCACAGUGAUGUAGGAGGAUAAUUUUUCAGUAGUAAUAUUUUUUUUGCAAUUAGAAUCGAGAAAAAUAAUGAAAUAGGUAAAAGCUUGUAUCUAUAAGCCUGUGUGAACAGAGUAUUACUUUUAGGUAAAGGGGAAACAAAUGAUCUUUUAGAUAUUUUAAGCAUAAGACUCUUCUUUUUUUGCUUAUUUAGGUACCAGAGUGACAAGCUACACAGUUUUUUCACAUUUCCAUAUGAGAACAAAACACAUUUCUGCCUGUAAGAUAAGCCACAUCAGCCUCUUUGUCAUAGGGAUAACCAUUUCCCUGAAAGCUGAUGGGAAAUUUCCCAAAGGUACUAGAAAGGCCAUUAGAUUAAAUUCCAUGUUGUUUUGCUGAGGAAACUAAGACCCCAAGAAUUGAAGACUUCACUGUCCCAGCUAGCCCUUCAACCUUGGUCUCCUGAACUAUCAGCCAUUUUUUUCUUUAGUCAACGCCGUCCUUGUUAUGCUGCAAGAAAUGGGGUCCUGGCCAAUUCAUUGCUGGUUCUGAGUCAGAGGAAGGUUCUACACCAGACGGUAUCCACUUUGGUGAGGAAUCUACUGCAUUUUCUCAUCAAAAUUUAAGGGAGGGGCACCUGGGUGGUUCACUCCAUUGAACAUCCGACUCUUGAUUUCGGAUCAAGUUAUGAUCUCAGGGUCCUGGGAUUGAGCCCUGCGUGGGGCUCCACACUCAUUGGCAAGUUGGCUUGAGAUUAUCUCUCCCUCUGCCCCUCCCCUACUCAAAUAUCCCCUCUUUCUCUCUCAAAAUGAAUGGUAAAUCUUUAAAAAAAA